rnacentral:ncRNA from 1 species
AUCGGGUCUGUGGUUGCAAGCCGAUGCCAGUCGCAGGCAAAACGGUCCACGUAAGCCGAAAAAAAUUCCGGUGAGCAUGGUGCGGUCUAGAUGUAAGCCCGGCCGCGUUUUAUGGCGCGAGAGGAUGGCGUGAGGGCGCGAUGGCGCAGAGCAAAAUCCCGGCCGGCGAGUGUGGGGUCAAAAACCAGGUCAGCCGC